rnacentral:rRNA from 1 species
CGCAAUGCCCGAAAGGGUGACGAAGCGACGCCGCGUGAGUGAGGAAGGCCUUCGGGUUGUAAAGCUCUGUCAGGAGUUAAGAAAUGUAGGUGUGCUAAUACCACAUUUAUUUGACAAAAGCUCCAAAGGAAGCCACGGCUAACUCUGUGCCAGCAGCCGCGGUAAUACAGAGGUGGCAAGCGUUGUUCGGAAUUAUUGGGCGUAAAGAGCACGUAGGUGGGUUUGUAAGUCAGAUGUGAAAGCCUUCUGUUCAACGGAAGAAUUGCAUCUGAAACUGCGAGUCUUGAGUGUAGGAGGGGAGAAUGGAACUUCUGGUGGAGCAGUGAAAUGCGUAGAUAUCAGAAGGAACGCCGGCGGCGAAAGCGAUUCUCUGGCCUAUUACUGACACUCAGUGUGCGAAAGCUAGGGGAGCAAACGGGAUUAGAUACCCCGGUAGUCCUAGCAAUCUCUAGAGGAAUACCGCGACUCGAG